rnacentral:RNase_P_RNA from 1 species
AGCGGGCCGGACGGCCGCGGGCACAAGGCGAAAGCCUGUGCGUGAGGAAAGUCCGGGCUCCACAGGGCAAGGAUAACGGGUAACGCCCGCCAGGGGUGACCCUCGGACAAGUGCAACAGAGAUAUACCGCCCCGGCUCCGCCGGGGUAAGGGUGGAAAGGCGGAGAUAAGCGCCCGCCCGUCGCCUGGAGACAGGCCGACGCUGUAAACUCUAUCCGGAGCAACACCGUGGAUGGGAACUUUCGGCCGGCCCGGCCGUCCCAGAGGAGGUGGCUGGAGCCAUGCGGCAACGCAUGGCCUAGAUAGAUGGCCGUCGAUUACAGAACCCGGCUUACAGGCCCGCUUG